CAAAAUGAAGUUCAAUACUUUUACUUCCUUCUUCCUUCUUCUCUUUACACUCAUCAUCCUCCUUUCUUCACCACCACCAAUCUUUCAAACCCCUACACACCCCCAAUCCCAAACUUACCAACCAAAAGAAGAUCGAGAUCCAAUGGAAGCCUCAAAAGCUGGUGGACGCGGUUGUUGGCAAUGUUGGAACCAUCGUCAUCUCCUACAGACCAUAUGAUUUUGGCUUAAUGGCUUUUUUUAUAUAUCUACAUAUGCAUUCAGACAUCAUAUUCGCACAAUGCAGUGAGACACAUCUCGAUUUUAAUAUUCUAUUUUUAUAAGUUGUCU